UACGUAGGGUGCAAGCGUUGUCCGGAAUUAUUGGGCGUAAAGAGCUCGUAGGCGGCUUGUCGCGUCGGCUGUGAAAACCUGGGGCUCAACCCCGGGCCUGCAGCCGAUACGGGCAGCUAGAAUUCGGUAGGGGAGACUGGAAGUUCCUGGUGUAGCGGUGAAAUGCGCAGAUAUCAGGAGGAACACCGGUGGCGAAGGCGGGUCUCUGGGCCGAAAUUGACGCUGAGGAGCGAAAGCGUGGGGAGCAAACAGG
rnacentral:rRNA from 1 species